GAUGAACGCUGACAGAAUGCUUAACACAUGCAAGUCUUUGGCGAAGCUGUGCUUGCACAGCCUAGCCAAGGCGGACGGGUGAGUAACGCGUAAGGAACUUGCCCUGCAGUCAGGGAUAACAGACGGAAACGACUGAUAAGACCUGGUAAAGUCAGGCGGACUCAUGUCCAGCCUGAUGAAAAGAGAUGCUGCAGGAGAGCCUUGCGUCCUAUUAGCUUGUUGGUGGGGUAACGGCCCACCAAGGCGAUGAUAGGUAGCCGGCCUGAGAGGGUGGACGGCCACACGGGGACUGAGAUACGGCCCUUACUCCUACGGGAGGCAGCAGUGGGGAAUAUUGGACAAUGGGGGCAACCCUGAUCCAGCAAUUCUGUGUGCACGAUGAAGGUUUUCGGAUUGUAAAGUGCUUUCAGCAGGGAAGAAAAAAUGACGGUACCUGCAGAAGAAGCGACGGCUAAAUACGUG
rnacentral:rRNA from 1 species